CAGCCAUCCACUCUGUUGUCAGAUGGAUGGAUCACUCUGUUGUCAUUCACUUCGCAGAUUUUUCUCAAUAUGAAGAAAUGGACCACCCCCUGAACUUCUCCUCCUGUCUCACCACACACACAGAAAUAUUAGAAACAAGUCAUGAAGCCCUAGCCCACACUCCAAGGGAGGGGAUUACAGAAGUGCAUGAAUACCAGGAGACAGGAACCUUUGGGAACCAGUUAUGAAGGAAAGAGAGGAAGAGCCCAUCCCAUGGAAGAGAACCAGCUGUGCUUCAACUUCCCACCCAAGCUACACUACCUACUACAGCAGUGCCAGUGUCACCAUCGUGUGGGAAUUCCGUUCCUACUAGCGGGGAGCCUGGAUCUUGCCCUGGAGGUUGACAAAAACAAGGCACCAGAUAUGCAGGCGAGCCCUUUUGGAUGGGCUAGUCCAGUAGAGGUCCCAGAGGACUGAAGCCUGACCUGACAUCACUGUGAGCAGAAGACCCUCCCAGCUUGCUGUGUAACUUUCAUAUUCAACAAGGAAUGCCCUCCCCCGCAACUGGAAAAUAUGGUGAGGUGACUAUGAUGAGUUGGGGAAAGAAUUAUUUAGGUCAUGGAAGAGGUGGGUUCAAAUCUAGACUCUCUCAUUUACUAGCUAGGAUACUUGGGGCAAACUACUUAGCCAGGUUCUUUCAGGUUCAAUUAACACUAAUUGUCAUAACAAAAUACUUUCUGAGAGCUUGCUACUUACUACAUUGAGAACUUUAUACAUAACCUUUUGUUUUAAUCCUCAUUUUAUUCCCACAAGAUAGAUGCUGUUAUUACAGGACUCAGAGGUUAAAAAGGAUGUCCGAGGACACAUGACUGGUAAGUAGCAAUGAAAACCCAGGCUGUGUGACUUCAUGGCCUGAGCUCUUGCCAUAUAUUGGAAUAAUAUUUCCUCACUAGCUUGUUCUGAAGGCUACCUUAUUUAUCAUGUGAAAGCAGAAAGCAGCUGGAGUGGUGACUGACACACAGGAUUGUUUUCAAUCAUUGAUUGAUGAUUUUUCAACUCAGGUGCUUUAUGACUCCAGAUCAAUCCUUUCCUAAAUCCUGACACUGUGCUGACAGGAACACAAAAGAGACAAAAUGUCUAACAGUGUUCUGCAAUGUUCCCAGUCAUACUUAAGCAGUGAUGAUAACGAAUAAAUAUGUAUACAGUGUCAUAAUAAGAUGUGCGUCCUAUGACCUGAGCUUGCUUCCUAGAAUCACCAUGAAGUUGGGCAUUCUACAGCUGUUUAUAGAAAGAUGCAAAAAGUUACAUCAGAUAACACUACUCUUCACCACUGUUACCGUAAGAUUGCUCAGAUCUCACCGGAGAACUUAGUAAUAAUGUGGUUAAUAGUCACGACAACCAAAAUGGCGCUUAAUAUUUCUGCAGUAUGUUUUCAUGGGGAAAUCUUCAAGCCAGAUCCUUGUAAUCACCCUUGUAUUCAGCUUCACUGUUCAGAGUUUAUCUUGCUCUGCUUCUGGUGGCAUUUGACAUUGCUGGGUCCUUCCACCCACCUGCCUUCCAGGAUAUCAGCUCUCCCAGUUUGUUCACCCUGGAAAAAGGUCUUCUUGAUCCGACUGGUUUUUCAGUCUCUGCCCAGCCCUUAAAAGUUGAAGCUGCUACUUUUGAGGCAAAGCACCACUCAUUCAUUAAUUCAUUCACCCAUUCAUUGAGGACGUCUCAAAUACCUACUAGGUGCUGUGGAUACAGCUGUGAAUGGAUCAGACUUUAUGGAACUUCCCUGCUUUUUAAAGGCGAGACAGAUAAUGAAAUAAAUCUGUAAAUUAUAUAGUGUGAUAGAUGAUGGUAAGUAGUAGGAAGAAAAGUAAAGUGGGAAAGGAGGAAGGGUAAUUACUAGAGUUUGAUCCUAAAUAGGUGGUCAGGGCAGUUCCCACUAAGAAGAUAUUUACCCAAGGACUUGAAACCAUGGAGGGAGUGUGCCCUGUCGCAUCUGGGGGAAAAACGUUAAAAGUAGAGGAAACAGUGAGUACAAAGGCUCUGAGGAGGAGCCUGCCUGGGGGAGUUUGAGGACUAUCGGAGAGGCACAUGUGGCAUCUGACUUCGGCUCAGGUCAUGAUCUUUCGGUCCGUGGGUUCAAGCCCCAGAGCCUGGAGCCUGCUUUGGAUUCUCUUUCUCUGCCCCAACUCUGC